AAAAAGUUAUGGUCUAAUUUAAUAUUAUUAAUUAUUUUCUACUCAUAUAUUAUUAGUUUUAUAUUAGGUGAUUAUUCACCACGUUUAUUAUCAUUACUAGUUAAUCAACUAUAGUCUUAAGUAUAAGUAUUCAGUUUAUUAAAUAUUUCAUUAGUUGCGUUACCGAGACAUCACAAGUCUUGUGUAAAGUGGUAUUUUUUGUGAAAUAAAGUUGAGUUUAUCGUUAUUGACGCAAUGUAUCAUUACUGAACCACUGCCAUUCACUUGUUCAUCUGCUACGACCGUCUAUGUUCAACCGAAAGGGUCAAUCAAGGACGCAGAGUAUUGGUGCGGAAAAUCCCCGACCAGCGUAACCCAAUUAAACGAAGCUUAAGUGAUCAUUUACCUAUCCGCAAGGACUUGAUGACUGAAGUAAUUGAACUUUUUUUAAUAAAUAAAAGUUCAGUGUUUCAACAUACAUAUCUAAAAUUUUAAGUGGAUGGUAUUUUUCGACUCCACUAAGUAAAAUAAGAUGUAUGUUGGCAAAAUUCUUUGAUAAUUUGAUCAUGAGACCCAUUGCAAUAGGCCGAUUUCUAAAGAAAUCUACCUAAUAUCAUAGUUCGUAAUUACAAAUAUGUAAAUACUUUGUCGUUAGUCUAGUAUGACAAUGAUAAAAAAAAAAAAAAAUAAAAAAACAUUAUCGCAAAAAACAAACCAUUUAUUUAUUAGUUGUUCUGACAAUUACAAAAUUGUUAAGAACGGUGAUUUCAGGCGAGUCACUGAAAUUUUUAUUACAACGCACUUUUAGUUUCCUAAAAGGUGUUCAGUAAACAAUUUCAUUGGAAAAGUAAUUGCAGAAGGUAACAGUAAUGUAAUAUUCAAUUAUUAUUCACUAAAUUAUCAUGCAAUAGGACUCUAAGUGAAGUCUUAUAAGAUGUCAAUACCUAUGCAGAGUAAUGUUUAGGACAGCAUUGUACGUCAAUCAUUGCGAUUGUGAUCUAAAUGCACUUUUAGUUUCCUAAAAGUUGUCCCAACUAUACUUCAAGACAAAAUAUAUAAUAAAAAAGGCCAUUCGGCAGCCGAAAUGAAAGGUAGAUUUUCCAAUUAAUCUAUAUAAAAAGUUUCAUACAUACAUAUCUUGUGAUUCAUGUUAGUGUAUAGUCAUGAUAUGAAAUUAGGCUUGUUUUCUAAGAGUGAGGGUAAAAAAAGACAACGACUAUUUUCGAUAGAAAACUUCAGAUAGUUGAUUUGACAAAACAAUAUAUAGGUAAUGUACCAAACUAACCUUCACGUAAACAAAGUAUAUAGAAAAUUUAAUUACUAUGAUCAUAAUUGUAAUCGCUAUUACGAUGGCAUACCAGUUAUAAUUAUAGGACGUACAGGUACGUUUGAAACAACAUAAGUGAUAAAAGAAAUCCUUUUAAAAUAUAAAAUAGCAGUGAAAUUUACAGGUUAUUUUCUUCACAAUGAAAUACAACUAAUGAAAUUGAAUUAGAAUGGGAAAUGCUUAAGUUAUGUGAAAUAAAAAACCAUAUUUCCAACAUUUUUUAAUUUCAUUUAAAAUUUCAAGGCUAUCAAAUUAUUGGAAGAAAUAGUCAAAAUAUAUCGUUUAAGAGGUCUACCCUCUUUAGACGGGCAAAGAUAAGGCUAUUUUCACGAAUUUUUUUGACCGGUAUACGUCAUAAAUAUGGACAUAAAAAAUGUUAGGCCUAAAAAAUACACUAUUUGAUUACACAAGAAAAUUUUUUUUAUAUUUAUUUUAAUCAGUUUUUAUACAUAAAAAUGAGGGAGAAGACUGGUCCAAAAAAAAAGAUGAGUGUGCGCUGUUGAUGAAAUAUCUGGAUUGGAUGAUCUGAAAAAAAAAAAAAAAUAGUUUUAGAUUCAGCUGUCCCCAGUUGGCAAGAUCCCUCCCUUGGGUUCUUGAAAAUACCCUAGAAACAGUCUGGAAAUAUUCUGGUAACACGAUGCAACCAUACGGACUCUAGAGUAUUUCCAAAACGGAUUUUUGCUCCUUUUGAGAAUGAACUCAGAGUAUUUCCAGAGUUAUUACACACGGAAAAAAGAAAACUAGAAUAGUUACAGAAUAAAAUGUAGAAACAAGCCCGUCAUAUUAAAAAUCACAAAAGUUAAUAUGUAUACUGUAAUUUUUAAAUUUUAUCCUGUAAAACAUUAGUUGCAUAUUAAGCAGUAAUAUUUACAGUUUUAAAAUGUAAAAGGAACAGAACAAAAUGUAAAAUAAUUAUUACCUUUUGCUCACAGAAAGUUCUUUUCAUUAAAAAUUAUUCAUUCCUCUUUAAAACUGCAAAAAUUACAGUUUAGCCGUUGAGUAAAAAUUAAAGUAUCAAAUAGGAAAAUUUGUUGAGUGGUUCAAGAAGAUUUACAGUGCGGGCAUUCAAUUAUGAACCUUGAUGUAGAAAAUGGAACUAUUACAUCUCACACUGUAAUUUCUAACAUUUCUAUAUCAAGUAUCAUCAAUGCUUUAGCAAUCACGA